AGCGAACGCUGGCGGCAGGCCUAACACAUGCAAGUCGAACGAACUCUUCGGAGUUAGUGGCGGACGGGUGAGUAACACGUGGGAACGUGCCCUUUGGUUCGGAAUAACUCAGGGAAACUUGUGCUAAUACCGAAUGUGCCCUUCGGGGGAAAGAUUUAUCGCCAUUAGAGCGGCCCGCGUCUGAUUAGCUAGUUGGUGAGGUAACGGCUCACCAAGGCGACGAUCAGUAGCUGGUCUGUGAGGAUGACCCGCCACACUGGGACUGAGGCACGGACCAGACUCCUACGGGAGGCAGCAGUGGGGAAUCUUGCGCAAUGGGCGAAGGCCUGACGCAGCCAUGCCGCGUGAAUGAUGAAGGUCUUAGGAUUGUAAAAUUCUUUCACCGGGGACGAUAAUGACGGUACCCGGAGAAGAAGCCCCGGCUAACUUCGUG
rnacentral:rRNA from 1 species